CUUGACUGUAUCCUGGAAUUGGGUUCGGGCUUUUCUUGCGCAGCCUAGGUGGGAGGCUAUGAAGAUUUCCUUCCGGGGAAGUUGGAGCCAUCAGUGAGAGACCACUCUGGAGAGGCUAGAAUCCUAAUGGUGAUCCUUGAAUCAGGACACUUGACAGUUUCAGGUGGGCAGUUUUUCUGGGGCGGAAGCCUCAUAAAGGGUAACUGAGGCGCGCAAAGGUCCCCUCAGUCUGGACGGAAAUCAGACAACGAGUGUAAAGGCAAAAGGGGGCUUGACUGCAAGACCUACAAGUCGAGCAGGAGCGAAAGCUGGCCUUAGUGAUCCGACGGUACUGAGUGGAAAGGCCGUCACUCAACGGACAAAAGUUA
rnacentral:rRNA from 1 species